rnacentral:rRNA from 1 species
GACGAACGCUGGCGGCGUGCUUAACACAUGCAAGUCGAACGGAAAGGCCCUGCUUUUGUGGGGUGCUCGAGUGGCGAACGGGUGAGUAACACGUGAGUAACCUGCCCUUGACUUUGGGAUAACUUCAGGAAACUGGGGCUAAUACCGGAUAGGAGCUCCUGCUGCAUGGUGGGGGUUGGAAAGUUUCGGCGGUUGGGGAUGGACUCGCGGCUUAUCAGCUUGUUGGUGGGGUAGUGGCUUACCAAGGCUUUGACGGGUAGCCGGCCUGAGAGGGUGACCGGCCAAAUUGGGAACGAGAAUAGGACCAGCAUCCUUAGGGAGGCAGCAGUGGGGAAUAUUGCACAAUGGGCGGAAGCCUGAUGCAGCAACGCCGCGUGCGGGAUGACGGCCUUCGGGUUGUAAACCGCUUUCGCCUGUGACGAAGCGUGAGUGACGGUAAUGGGUAAAGAAGCACCGGCUAACUACGUG